AUACGUAGGGUGCGAGCGUUGUCCGGAAUUACUGGGCGUAAAGAGCUCGUAGGUGGUUUGUCGCGUCGUCUGUGAAAUUCCGGGGCUUAACUCCGGGCGUGCAGGCGAUACGGGCAUAACUUGAGUACUGUAGGGGAGACUGGAAUUCCUGGUGUAGCGGUGAAAUGCGCAGAUAUCAGGAGGAACACCGGUGGCGAAGGCGGGUCUCUGGGCAGUAACUGACGCUGAGGAGCGAAAGCAUGGGUAGCGAACAGGAUUAGAUACCCUGGUAGUCCAUGCCGUAAACGGUGGGCGCUAGGUGUAGGGGUCUUCCACGGCUUCUGUGCCGUAGCUAACGCAUUAAGCGCCCCGCCUGGGGAGUACGGCCGCAAGGCUAAAACUCAAAUGAAUUGACGGGG
rnacentral:rRNA from 1 species